rnacentral:rRNA from 1 species
UACGUAGGGUGCGAGCGUUGUCCGGAUUUACUGGGCGUAAAGAGCGCGCAGGCGGUCGAUCAAGUCGCGUGUGAAAGCCCCCGGCUCAACUGGGGAGGGUCACGCGAUACUGAUCGACUCGAAGGCAGGAGAGGGUAGUGGAAUUCCCGGUGUAGUGGUGAAAUUCGUAGAUAUCGGGAGGAACACCGGUGGCGAAGGCGGCGACCUGGGUAGAUACUGACGCUGAGGUGCGAAAGCGUGGGGAGCAAACAGG